rnacentral:rRNA from 1 species
AUGGCGGGUGGACCUGGUUACCUGUUCCAUCGAAAGAACAAGGUGAGUUUCGCCUCGUUUCGGUGCGAUCGGAUUACUCACGGAGAUGAAAAUAUCUCAACUCCUCCUCGAUUCCUUUCACUCCCCCACGACCCCGCCGCCGCCUCCUCUCCUGCUGCCGCCGCCGCGCCACCACAGCCACCUCCUCUCAUCUCUGCCUUCUCUCCUGCUGCCCCCGCCGCGCCACCGCAGAUGCCUCCUCUCAUCUCUGCCUCUCCUGUUGCCCCCGCCGCCCCAGGGCCUCGCCUCGCCCUCAAGUGCACCGUCGACCUCCCAGACCUUGUUCUCCGCCUCGUCGCACUGACCACCUUGAGCUCGAGCCAAGGAGCGGCCCGUGUCGCGUGGUGGCCAGAUGCGGCGGCCCCAUGCUCAAGCGCGGUGCUGGUGAACGCGAGGAGCAGCAGCCACUGA